rnacentral:rRNA from 1 species
UACGUAGGGUCCGAGCGUUGUCCGGAAUUAUUGGGCGUAAAGAGCUCGUAGGCGGUUUGUCGCGUCUGCUGUGAAAUCCCGAGGCUCAACCUCGGGUCUGCAGUGGGUACGGGCAGACUGGAGUGCGGUAGGGGAGAAUGGAAUUCCUGGUGUAGCGGUGGAAUGCGCAGAUAUCAGGAGGAACACCCGUAGCGAAGGCGGUUCUCUGGGCCAAUACUGACGCUGAGGAGCGAAAGCGUGGGGAGCAAACAGG